GGGGUUGUGGUUCAGUGGUAGAGCACUCACCUAGCAAGUGUGAGGCUCUGAGUUUGAUCCUCAGCACCACA
rnacentral:tRNA from 1 species